GCGCCGGUGGUGUAAGGCGAACACCGCUGCCCGGAAAGCAGAAGAUGCGGGUUCGAGUCCCGCCUAGCGCA
rnacentral:tRNA from 1 species